rnacentral:sRNA from 1 species
AGCAGUUUAAGGUCAGUCUGGGCAACAUAGCAGAGCUCUGUUCAAAAAAAUUAAAUUAUGGUAUACCACCCCCCCACUGCUAAAUUUGACUGCCUUUAA